rnacentral:rRNA from 1 species
GACGAACGCUGGCGGCGUGCUUAACACAUGCAAGUCGAACGGAAAGGCCCUGCUUUUGUGGGGUGCUCGAGUGGCGAACGGGUGAGUAACACGUGAGUAACCUGCCCUUGACUUUGGGAUAACUUCAGGAAACUGGGGCUAAUACCGGAUAGGAGCUCCUGCUGCAUGGUGGGGGUUGGAAAGUUUCGGCGGUUGGGGAUGGACUCGCGGCUUAUCAGCUCGUUGGUGGGGUAGUGGCUUACCAAGGCUUUGACGGGUAGCCGGCCUGAGAGGGUGACCGGCCAAAAUGGGACUGAGAUACGGCCCAGACUCCUAAGGGAGGCAGCAGUGGGGAAUAUUGCACAAUGGGCGGAAGCCUGAUGCAGCAACGCCGCGUGCGGGAUGACGGCCUUCGGGUUGUAAACCGCUUUCGCCUGUGACGAAGCGUGAGUGACGGUAAUGGGUAAAGAAGCACCGGCUAACUACGUG